rnacentral:lncRNA from 1 species
UGUUUUGUGGCCAUCAUUUUGAGAUUCCUAAUAAUUAUAUCUUUGAUUUUGUGAUUUGGCAGGGGCCUGGCUGUGGGCACACGGGAGUCCAUGCUGGGGAGAGACAUGGGAGCCACCGCUCCUGCCGUGGCUGCCAUCACCUGGGGUCACCCUGGAUCCUGAUACUAAACACAUCUGGUACAGUGAGCAAUCCUGUGAGUGUCACCGUGCACAGACAGCUGAGUCUACAGGCCUGGGAAACAUCACCUCUGUGGCAAUUUGAAGGGAGCACUGCGCCCCAUCUCUGCCGCUGGCAAGCUGCUCGGGUACCUGAGGAAUUGUGGAGCUGUACCUUGGGUGCUUGGGGGAGCACAGCAUUAGUGAAUAAAAAACACUACAGAUUGCAAGGGAGACAAAGGGAGAAGAAAGUGUUGUAUUUGGCAUCUAUUGCAAUACGUUUUUCCUUCCUGCCUCUUAGACAGGGGCCCAUAUUUUACUUUGCACUAGGGCCUUCAAGCCCUGCGGCUGUCCCCAGAUGGAGACGGUGUCAAAGCCUCUCAGAGCCCAGCCCAUGUGCCCCCUACUGAAGCACCUGGUGUCACCUUGGUGUUCCUGGGUUCCACCUCAGAAUCCGGCCUCUGGUCCCCAUUGACUUCCUUCUUCUGGGGGCCCCUCUGCAACUCCACUGCAGCUCCCAGCCAGCUCUGGGCCUCCUGCAGGCCACCUCCAGCUGCUGCCCCGCCUGGUUCUCACACGGGGGGCAUCCAGAUGAUGCUUGGUGUGGAGGGAAGGUGCCGGUAGUCACAGCCCCCUGGCUCCUUCCCGCUGUGUUUUUCACAAGAUGUGUGCACUUGAGUGAUUCAUUUCCCGUCC